CAGCAGCCGCGGUAAUACGGAGGGUGCAAGCGUUAAUCGGAAUUACUGGGCGUAAAGGGCGCGUAGGCGGUUCGGUCAGUCGGAGGUGAAAGCCCUGGGCUCAACCUGGGAGGUGCCUUCGAUACGGCCGGACUUGAGAGCGGGAGAGGAUGACGGAAUUCCCAGUGUAGAGGUGAAAUUCGUAGAUAUUGGGAAGAACACCAGAGGCGAAGGCGGUUACCUGGACAGUUGCUGACGCUCAGGCACGAAAGCAUGGGGAGCAAAAGGGAUUAGAUACCCCUGUAGUCCAUGCCCUAAACGGUGCACACUAGGUCUUAGCGGAUUCGACCCCACUAGGGCCCAAGCUAACGCGUUAAGUGUGCCGCCUGAGGACUACGGUCGCAAGACUAAAACUCAAAG
rnacentral:rRNA from 1 species